GACGAACGCUGGCGGCGUGCUUAACACAUGCAAGUCGAACGGUAAGGCCCUUCGGGGUACACGAGUGGCGAACGGGUGAGUAACACGUGGGUGAUCUGCCCUGCACUUCGGGAUAAGCCUGGGAAACUGGGUCUAAUACCGGACAGGACCACUGCCUGCAUGGGUGGUGGUGGAAAGCUUUUGCGGUGUGGGAUGGGCCCGCGGCCUAUCAGCUUGUUGGUGGGGUGAUGGCCUACCAAGGCGACGACGGGUAGCCGGCCUGAGAGGGUGACCGGCCACACUGGGACUGAGGUACGGGCCAGACUCCUAGGGGAGGGAGCAGUGGGGAAUAUUGCACAAUGGGCGCAAGCCUGAUGCAGCGACGCCGCGUGAGGGAUGACGGCCUUCGGGUUGUAAACCUCUUUCAGCACCGACGAAGCGCAAGUGACGGUAGGUGCAGAAGAAGGACCGGCCAACUACGUGCCAGCAGCCGCUGUAA
rnacentral:rRNA from 1 species